rnacentral:rRNA from 1 species
AUUGAACGCUGGCGGCAGGCCUAACACAUGCAAGUCGAACGAGUGGCGGUAGGGAGAUUAAUGACUGGGAAAAUGCCCGAGGGAGGGGGAUAACUCCCGGAAACGGUAGCUACUACCGCCAAUCAUCGGAUGUGCCUGGAUGGGAUUAGCUAGUUGGUGGGGUAAUGGCUCACCUAGGCGACGAUCCCUAGCUGGUCUGAGAGGAUGACCAGCCACACUGGAACUGAGACACGGUCCAGACUCCUACGGGAGGCAGCAGUGGGGAAUAUGGCACAAUGGGAGCAAGCCUGAUGCAGCCAUGCCGCGUGUAUGAAGAAGGUCUUCGGAUUGUAAAGUACUUUCAGCGAGGAGGCGUUACUCGCAGAAGAAGCACCGGCUAACUCCGUGCCAGCAGCCGCGGUAAUAC